GAAAGUGACGGUUUUCUUCUUCAAAUGUAAACAAAUACACGUGAUGUAAAUGGGACUCAUAUCGAAAGAAUGCCAAAACCAGAAAACUAGCAUGUUAAAGAGAUGUCUGUUUUGCUCCCUUGUCGUCCAGAAAUUUAUUAGAACAUGAUUGUUCAGUUAUGAACCUGUUACCAUAGAUACUAUUGCUUUGGCGUGUGAUCUACAACUUCAAGGACGAUUACUUUAGCCAACCUGAGAUACACCAAGUAAGCUUCCCCUUUGGUUUUCAUAAAAGGAAAAAAAAAGCCAAUGGUUAAAAAAAAAAAUGAAGAGAAGGGAGUGCAGAGCCUAGUGAA